UACGUAGGGGGCGAGCGUUACCCGGAUUUACUGGGCGUAAAGCGCACGUAGGCGGUCCGUUAAGUCGGGUGUGAAAGCCCUGGGCUCAACCCAGGAAGUGCACUCGAAACUGGCGGGCUUGAGUAUGGAAGAGGGUCGCGGAAUUCCCGGUGUAGAGGUGAAAUUCGUAGAUAUCGGGAGGAACACCAGUGGCGAAGGCGGCGACCUGGGCCAAUACUGACGCUGAGGUGCGAAAGCGUGGGGAGCAAACAGG
rnacentral:rRNA from 1 species